rnacentral:rRNA from 1 species
UACGUAGGUCCCAAGCGUUAUCCGGAUUUACUGGGCGUAAAGUGUCCGUAGCCGGAUAUAUAAGUCUGUUUUCAAAUCCCACGACUCAAUUGUGGACAGGGAAUAGAUACUGUAUAUCUAGAGAAUAUUGGAGGUUAGUGGAAUUUCCGGUGGAGCGGUGAAAUGUGUUGAUAUCGGAAAGAACGCCGAAAGCGAAAGCAGCUAACUAUGAUAUUUCUGACGGUGAUGGACGAAAGCUUGAGUAGCAAACGGG